UAGAGAUAUGAGGGUGCUAGCUUGCUAGAACUUAGAGACAGGUGCUGCACGGCUGUCGUCAGCUCGUGUCGUGAGAUGUUGGGUUAAGUCCCGCAACGAGCGCAACCCACGUAUUUAGUUGCUAACACUUCGGGUGAGCACUCUAAAUAGACUGUCUUCGUAAGGAGGAGGAAGGUGUGGACGACGUCAAGUCAUCAUGGCCCUUAUGCCCAGGGCGACACACGUGCUACAAUGGCAUAUACAAUGAGACGCAAUACCGCGAGGUGGAGCAAAUCUAUAAAAUAUGUCCCAGUUCGGAUUGUUCUCUGCAACUCGAGAGCAUGAAGCCGGAAUCGCUAGUAAUCGUAGAUCAGCCAUGCUACGGUGAAUACGUUCCCGGGCCUUGUACACACCG
rnacentral:rRNA from 1 species